UACGAAGGGGGCUAGCGUUGUUCGGAAUUACUGGGCGUAAAGCGCGCGCAGGCGGUCUUCCAAGUCAGUGGUGAAAGCCCGGAGCUCAACUCCGGAACUGCCAUUGAAACUGUCGAGCUAGAGUCCGGAAGAGGAGUAGUGGAAUUCCCGUGGUAGCGGUGAAAUGCGCAGAUAUCGGGAAGAACACCCGUGGCGAAGGCGGCACUCUGGGACGGUACUGACGCUGAGACGCGAAAGCGUGGGGAGCGAACAGG
rnacentral:rRNA from 1 species